rnacentral:rRNA from 1 species
AUUGAACGCUGGCGGCAGGCUUAACACAUGCAAGUCGAGCGGGGGAUGUUACUUCGGUAACUGACCUAGCGGCGGACGGGUGAGUAAUGCUUAGGAAUCUGCCUAUUAGUGGGGGACAACAUUCCGAAAGGAAUGCUAAUACCGCAUACGCCCUACGGGGGAAAGCAGGGGAUCUUCGGACUUUGCGCUAAUAGAUGAGCCUAAGUCGGAUUAGCUAGGUGGUGGGGUAAAGGCCUACCAAGGCGACGAUCUGUAGCGGGUCUGAGAGGAUGAUCCGCCACACUGGGACUGAGACACGGCCCAGACUCCUACGGGAGGCAGCAGUGGGGAAUAUUGGACAAUGGGCGGAAGCCUGAUCCAGCCAUGCCGCGUGUGUGAAGAAGGCCUUUUGGUUGUAAAGCACUUUAAGCGAGGAGGAGGCUCCUUUAGUUAAUACCUAAAGAGAGUGGACGUUACUCGCAGAAUAAGCACCGGCUAACUCUGUGCCAGCCGCCGCCGUAAAAC